rnacentral:rRNA from 1 species
UACGUAGGGGGCAAGCGUUGUCCGGAUUUAUUGGGCGUAAAGAGCGUGUAGGCGGCCAGGUAGGUCCGUUGUGAAAACUGGAGGCUUAACCUCCAGCUGUCGAUGGAAACCAUCUGGCUAGAGUCCGGAAGAGGAGAGUGAAUUCCUGGUGUAGCGGUGAAAUGCGCAGAUAUCAGGAAGAACACCCGUGGCGAAGGCGGCUCCUCUGGGACGGUACUGACGCUGAGACG